UUUCUUGAAGCAAUAACUGCCUACCACAUAAAUCUAUUUUUUGCUCUUUUAUUACUUCCUUUUUUCUCUUUUUUCCCUCUUACCCCAACUUUAGAUCAUUUCUUCUAUCUUUCGUUUUUAUUUUUUUAAUCUCUAUCUGCUUUUGCUUUUCUCUUCAUUCUCUCUUGGGUCUUUUACAGGCCACCUUGGGCAUUGACUGGUUCCAUUUGAGCAACCUCUGAUGUAAUGGAAUGAAAUGGUAUAGGUAAACAUAUUGUUGCCACCACUGGAUUGUAGCCUGUCAUUGAUGAUGCCUUCUUUUCUUUAAAGGUCUUAGAGACCAAAACAUAUCAAAUACAUUUUAUUCUACUUAAUGACUUUAUUUUUAAUUAUGUAAAUCUGCCAAUAAUACUGUCUAUAUUCCUGGCGAUCUCGUAGCACAGAUUCUAUUUUUAAGCUGUUUCUGCACUAAAACUCUAUUCCAAAGCUUUCAGGUAUAGAAAAUAGAUAGUAUCUCUAAUGCUGAUAAUGCUGAUUUCCACAUAGUCUGGUGUUUCCCUUUGGACCACAAGAAUUAUGAUAAAAUGUGUUCCAUUUGGAAGGUUUCCCAUGUGGCUUUGCUGAUACUUAGGUUACUGUUGGCUUCCAUCACCCCAGGGAACUGAGGGUUACUGUUUUAAGUUGGGGCAUUUCUCUUCUAUCAUUCCUGUUCACUAUAUCCUCCUCAACACAGUGCAAUCAAUUACCAGUUUAAAGAAGAUCCCUAAAUGGUCUUACUACAGUGCAAAGGAAUGCUGAGGCACAAAUUCAUCUGCAGUAGAAAGCCCACCAAACUGGGAGUCAGGAAACCUGAAUUUGUAUCUCAAGAUUUGCUUAUGGUAUGACCUUCAGAAGACAUUGAAGCUUCCUGAGCUGAAAUUUCUGCAUCCACAAAAUUGUCUGUUUGCCACUCUGACAUUAUUAAGUUUGAAAUUAUUUUGCAGGGUUAGUCCAGGAACCAGGCUUCACUUUUUCCUGGUUCACACUUAGUUUAACACCCACUCAUACCCACCACCACACCCAGGAUAAAGCUAUUACUCUCAGCUUCCCUAUCAGUUCUAUCUAGUGCCCUUACUUUGUUUCUCCCUACAAGAGAAAAAACAAAACAAAACAAACUUCAUCCUGAUGAAACUGAAUUAAUUUAUAUUCCUCUAAAACUCCUUCCUAAAAUCUAUUUCAUUUGCUUUGAACCUCUGGAUUUCCCAGAGCAACCCUGCCCCAUCCUCAUUAUAAGGUCAACUGCUCUUAACCUUCUCUGCCAAAAGGUCACUCUGUGGUUUCUAAUACCACAGUUCUUUAUACUCCCACAAUGUAUUCAUCACUUUGCAUCCUCCACAAGCAGUAUAAUCCAGAGCAUCCAAGUAGCCAGUACUGGGUCCCCACAAUCUCUGUCUUUUCUCCCUUGUGUCCAUGUAGUCAAUCCUAUUUCCAUCUUCAGCCCCUCUUUCUCUCAGGAUUUGCCUAUUCUGGACAUUUAAUAUAAAUGGAAUCACACAAUAUGUGGUCUUGUGCAUCUGGCUUCUUUUAUUUGCUAUUCCAUUUUUGAGGUCCAUUGAUAUUUUAGCAUGCAUCAAUAAUUCCUUCUUUUUUCAUUGCUGACUAGUAUUCAAUAAUAUGGAUAUACCACAUUUGUCCAUUCAUCAGUUAGUGAACAUUUAGAUUGUUUACACUUUUUUGGCUGUCGUGGAUAAUGCUUCUUUGACCAUAAAAAUAUUUCUGUGGAUAUAUGUUUCCAUUUCUCUUAGAUACCUUUGGGUAAAAUUAAUGGGUCAUAUGGUAAAUGUAUAUUUAAUGUUAUAAGCUAAUGUCAAACAUUUUCCAAAGUGGCUGUAGCAGUUUACGGUCCUGUCAGCAAUGUAUGAGGGUUCUAGUUCCUCUACAACCUGGACAAUAUUUUUUGUUGUCUUUUUUAUUAUAGCCAUUUUAGUGGAUAUGAAGUAAUGUCUUAUUACAGUUUGAAUUCACAUUUCUCUGAUGACAAAUGAUGUUGAGCAUCUCUUACGUGCUUCAGUAUCUCUUCUUUGAUAAGAUAUUUAUUUAGCUCUUGCCCAUUUUUUAAUUGGGCUCUUGGCCUUAUAAUUGAGUUGAGCCUCACCGGAUCUUAAAUACUUGGAUUGAAUUUUCCACAAACAAUCUUAAAGAUUUUUUCUUAAGGCAAUGAUGACUUGAUUUUAAUAUUUCCCAAUACUUCUCAAGAAUCACUUCCUUGCAUGAUCACAAUAUUUCUUUUUCCCAACUUGCAAAAAAUUGGAAAAGAUAAGAUGUCGUUAAGUAAAGUACUCUUUCUCUUCUAGGACAUUCUUACAGCCAGUUUAUUUAUUUGGCAAUGCAUUGUUUUUUAGGUUUUAUUUCCUAGUUCCUCCUUACUCAAACAGGAUAGCUUCAUGCCAUUAUUUUAUUUGAUUUUGUUGUUAGAAGCAGUAUAUUCAUUCUAUCAGAAAAACUGGGUAAAGAAUUAUUCAACAGUGAGCUUCCUGAUCCACAACAAUUAGGAUUUCAAUAACAUGAGCCUUGAGCAGGACUUUUGAGUCACUUCAAUCAAAAGUGAGUAACUACAACAAAUCUUUUCCUCCUUGGCGACUGAUUCAUUUUCAGUUAUAAGUAUUUUUGAAAGUGAGUUAACUCUUUUAAACCAAAGGACUAUAAUUUUAGAGCACUUCAAAGUGAUCUUUUCAUUUGAUACCUCAAAAUACUGCCAAGCCUUUUAAUAUUUUGCAGGGCAAGGCAACCAAAGAAAUCAUGUGCCACAGUGAUUCAGGGAUUAGAAAGAAAAGAGGCUACUGCAGCUCCAAUCCUGCCUUCUGAUUUACUGUGUGUACAUCCACGGUGUGGCCUGCGGGUUCAUGUUACUGUGGGUAAAACUCUUCACUUUCCCCAAUCGUCUCAUCAGUUAAGUCGCCCGAAAUCGGCUGCCACAGCCUACCAUUCGGAAGAAUCAUCAAAGGAGUAAUGAAGUCACCAAGAGUUCUAGUCUAUGACCACUGACACUGGAACAAAAUGUCCCCAUUUGACAGACCAUUCCUGAGAAGAUUGAUCUGAAAAAUAUUGAAGGCAAUGAUCUUAUAGAAUGGCAGAUGAAGGAAGAAACACAAAAGCAGCAGCUCUGGGACUCACUCUUGUCUAGACAAUUGGCUUCUGGCUGGGUGCCUUAUAUCAAUGUUUCUAUAUCCAACUUUGAUGAUAAUCCCCUAAGGAUUUCUCUCAGCCUGUUCUUCCCUGCAACCACUGUAAAAUCAUAGCAAAAACAAGGAUAAUGAAAAGAAGGUCACUUUGUACCCCAUCUGGGUUCUAGAAUUAAAUCCAGCUCAGGUCAGAAAUAAGCCAUGGGACCCAGUUGCUGUCACCUACCAUCAGACCUCAGUGAUACUAUUUUCCAGUAUUUCCAGUGCGUUUGUAGAUGAUUUUUCCGUCGUAUAAAAUUCAGAACGAGAAGGAAGUUUCUCUGGGGAAAUUGAGAAGAAAGAGAGGCACAUUUAUCUAUUGGCUGAGUCUAUUUUCAUUUUUAAGCACAUCAGUAUAUUUAUUAUUUAACCAAACACCCACAAGGUGUUACAUGUAAGGAUUGACACAUUGCCAUGGGCUAUAUUCUCAGAAGAGAUUGGAGCCUCUGGAAGUCGAUGUAAAUGAUUUUGGUUAUUAAGGUAUUGGUGAAUGAAUGAUGCCACCUCUUCCUUCAGCACCCUGUGUCCUGCUAACUCCCAGGAUGUGCUUAUUUAAUAUACAUAACACACAUACUGCCAUGCACAUCGCUGGGGGAUGGACCAGGGUUCGCCAGGGAACUGGGCUCCUAGAACAGCCAGAAACUGAGCAAAAGAAGCUCCUUCAUGGCAUUUCCACCCCCCACUGUGUCAGACUUGCCCAAGCCCCUGCUCUAGCUAGAGGAGCUAUUUCCCCCCCAAUGCUUCCUGAGUUCUUAAUCCUUUUACUGAGAAACCAGAAAAAGAGGUCAGUGCAAAUGGGUGUUGAAAAGAAAAACCCUGGGUCUUUUUUACCCAAGAAAAGCAGAGCAUUUCUGAAUUCUGGCUCUGACACAGAAAAGCCCUGUCUCUAAGUCCCUGCUCCUCAGGACUGCCUGCGGACUUAUUGGAAAGUAUUCCGGCUGAUAUUAACUGCCGUGAUCACGUAUCUGGCGAGAAAUGCUUUGAAAGUACAGAGCCAGUUGUUUGGAAGCAAGUAGGCCAAGCAGUCUACUAUUAUGUGUUAACUUGAAAUGAGAGAAUUUAAGAAAGCGUUCGGGUAUGUAAAGUCUUAGGUGCGUGCCUAGCCCCGUGCCAAGCACCCAGGGCUGAGUGUUGAUGAUCCAGAGGACAGGCUUCUUAGACACCAGGAGGGAGACAGGACCAUUCUAUGCAAAAUAAACAAACAAUUAAGUGCUUGACUGUGUGGUUGUAAAUAGCACUGGGCCAGCUGGGCCUGAGAGAGCACUGGGGCUGAAGUUGUCAAGGGCACUUGGUAGAGAGGCUGCAAACUCAUGGCUGGUCUCUGUCAGAGAGAACAUAAAUUUAGAAACCAUCAAGAUGGGGCAACCUGUUUUUAUCCACAAAGGCUAUCUGUGUGGGUCAGGAAUGCAAUCAGACAACCUACGUGGGUCUGGCUUAAACUUGGUACUUAGUUGAAGAUAUGACUUAGAGCUUCAGGUAGCUAUAAACACAAAGAUACUGCAAAAUGAUUUGAGUGUUUAGAAUAAACAAUUGAGAACUGGUUUUAUUAUAGCAGGUGGCUACAUAGGAAUGAGUGUUUGAUGGCUUCUUCUUCCUACAGAGAUUAAUGAGUUAGGACUUCAGUUUCCAGGAAAUGUAUGUUCAUGGUUUUAGUGACCUUUAUGCUAGAG